CCGAGAACUACACUUUUUCACUUCCCGAGCUCCUCCAAACUGAAGAUGUCCAGGACCCUUGCGACGAUCCAAGAAUUUCACCUCUAACGUCGCAAUACGAGUGGCCCCGAUCGCUCCCUUCGACCAUUGCCUCGUCGUGAACGGAGACCGACGGAUGACGCGCGGACGAGGCCAUUUUCCAUCAUUCCAUGCUUUUCGUAUGCAAGCCGGCGGGGCUCGCUCUGAGCACUCUAAUUUUUU